rnacentral:rRNA from 1 species
GAUGAACGCUGGCGGCGUGCCUAAUACAUGCAAGUCGAGCGAACAGAUGAGGAGCUUGCUCCUCUGACGUUAGCGGCGGACGGGUGAGUAACACGUGGAUAACCUACCUAUAAGACUGGGAUAACUUCGGGAAACCGGAGCUAAUACCGGAUAAUAUAUUGAACCGCAUGGUUCAAUAGUGAAAGACGGUUUUGCUGUCACUUAUAGAUGGAUCCGCGCCGCAUUAGCUAGUUGGUAAGGUAACGGCUUACCAAGGCAACGAUGCGUAGCCGACCUGAGAGGGUGAUCGGCCACACUGGAACUGAGACACGGUCCAGACUCCUACGGGAGGCAGCAGUAGGGAAUCUUCCGCAAUGGGCGAAAGCCUGACGGAGCAACGCCGCGUGAGUGAUGAAGGUCUUCGGAUCUUAAAACUCUGUUAUUAGGGAAGAACAAAUGUGUAAGUAACUAUGCACGUCUUGACGGUACCUAAUCAGAAAGCCACGGCUAACUACGUG